rnacentral:rRNA from 1 species
AUUGAACGCUGGCGGAAUGCUUUACACAUGCAAGUCGAGCGGCAGCACGGGGGCAACCCUGGUGGCGAGCGGCGAACGGGUGAGUAACACAUCGGAACGUACCCUGUCGUGGGGGAUAACGAGUCGAAAGAUUCGCUAAUACCGCAUACGACCCGAGGGUGAAAGCGGGGGAUCGCAAGACCUCGCGCGACUGGAGCGGCCGAUGGCGGAUUAGCUAGUUGGUGGGGUAAAGGCCCACCAAGGCGACGAUCCGUAGCGGGUCUGAGAGGACGGCCCGCCACACUGGGACUGAGACACGGCCCAGACUCCUACGGGAGGCAGCAGUGGGGAAUUUUGGACAAUGGGGGCAACCCUGAUCCAGCCAUUCCGCGUGAGUGAAGAAGGCCUUCGGGUUGUAAAGCUCUUUCGGCAGGAACGAAAAGGCUCUCUCUAACAUAGGGGGUCAAUGACGGUACCUGAAGAAGAAGCACCGGCUAACUACGUG